rnacentral:lncRNA from 1 species
UGUAGAUAGUUUUAUGAUUUUAUGUAGUCCCUCGCGUUAGGUAAAAAAAGGUUUCCGUGUUUUGUACAAUGAUGAGCCCAAACCAAAUUGACACAACUUUUUAUGAAUUAGUUUUGUACACAAUUAUGUUUAUUCUCAUACAAGAAUACUGGUUAUGGUAAGCACCGCUACGCUAAGUUAAGACGAGGCACAUCAUUCAUCGGUAUAGCUCAGGCAGGAUUCGUAAAUGUAGUUUGCUCAGCUAUAAAAUAUUAUGUUGUGACGCCUUAAGAAAUCAAGUCGCGACGAGCAUCAUAUUUUUUGUUUAUGAAAUCAUACUUUUUAUAUCUACCGCACCUAUAUAAUCUAAUAGUUUUUUCCCGUUGCAUCGCACGGGCAUAUUUGCUAGUAAUACAUAAUCAUAUAAGUGAUUGAAUACACACACAUGGUGGUGGUUUCGACUACCUUCCUAAUACUUUUCCCUAGUUCCUUGCUACUAGCAGUAUCCUCAUGAUUUGUGAUAUUUGCCAUUUAAUUUUAAUUUCUUAAUUUAACAAAUAUACAAUUAGUUCUUUGAUUAUAUGGGACAGAUGAUGGAUACACUUCCCAUGAUACGAAUAAAAGUGUGGGCUAUACUUUGAAGGAAGAUGUUAAUUUAUAGGCCAGACGCUUCAUGGGAUUAUGAGCCUGUCAGCCUGGUGGGCUUGAAGACCUGUAGCAACCAGAAAAGCCCUCAAUUUGGGGGGUCUGAUCCUUCUCACGGGCUGCACAUCCCUGGGUCUCGGCCUAUUCAUGAAUGAUUGCUUUGAGGAAUUGGCAGGUUUACCGCCUAUAUAAACGUUUGGUUGUUACCUGUGGCUCACACAGUUAUUACAUUAUCAUCGGAUAGCCACUGAAUGAAAAUUUGGCUGAUGAAUGCUUGCUUGUCCCAACUUUUAGCACCACAAACUCACAUUCUCUGGCAAUUGUUCUAUUUUCACAAAUUCUUUCUCAUCUUCAAGCUAUUCUGGUGUUUAUAGAUGUGAAGGUUACACCAUCAACGCCUGACACCUCUACGCUCUUAUACAGCGAACUACUGUCUUAAUCCUAGAGCAUCAAGGCAGCCUCACCAUUCAUAAAAUGUAUCUAAUUUAUUUGGCUUACUUUAGUAUCUCACGAAGGCACAACGCUUACAAGACCCACGUCAAAUAUUUCUCGGUAUGUAUACAUUCUUGAACAAUAAGAUAUGACAAACCAAAAGUAACAACCGCACCAUCUGAUGGGAUGGUAGGGCAUGUUGGUAUACAUAGCAUUUUCGAGAGAAAAUAAGUUGGUAUAUAUAGCGAAACGCUUAAACCGCUGAACUUGUGAUGUGUUAUCAUGUAUAAACAACUGCACGUUCACAGGUUGUUGAUGAACACCGCCGCCCACCAAUUUAGCAACUUGUGUGAUUCGAAAAGUAUGUGUGUCUCUUAACAGGAUUUUGGCGUAGGCCAGGUGCAACAUAGUUUUUCUCUCACGUGGUGAUACCAUCAGAUUUUGCCGAAGAGCAAUACAAUCCUAUGUUUAAGAGUUGGGUUAAAUUAGUUAUAGUUGGGCAAUUUAAUUAGGCCACCAGUUAGGAUAAAGGAGAUGAUUUGUAGUGAGGCCAUAUAAUGAAAGGGGUGAUGCUUUUCUCUUAAAAAUAUUGUGUGUGGUCCUGCAUAGUGUCCUUGUAUUAGGUAGCUAGUUGAGGCGAAUGGUGUGCACUUGUAUAAUAGGUAAUCACAUAAGUGAUUGAAUACACACACUAGUAGAAAAAGAACCUUUCGUUCGGAG